rnacentral:rRNA from 1 species
ACGUGAUCUGAGUUCAGACCGGAGUAAUCCAGGUCAGUUUCUAUCUAUAAAGGGCUUUUUCUAGUACGAAAGGACCGAAAAAGCGUGGCCAAUGAACCAUUAAGCCACCUAAACAACUUAUGAUUUCAACUAAAUAAAAAACAAACCUAAUAUUCACCUCAAGAAAAGAGGA